GGACAUCUGAGAUUUUACCUCCAUCUUAGAGGUGGUGUAACUGAGGUCCAUGUGAGAUACAUACUUACUAAAACAAAGGUAAUAAGAUUCAAACCUGUUAUCUGUGCAUCUGCCAAACUGUGCAGCCGUUUGGUAGAUUAGAGCAGCGCCUACCUGAAGUAAUGGUGUUAUUUAAUCAUGUUUUAUAGUUAAGGCAGCUUCUUCAUUUUCCGAUGUGUUCUCAUAGCAUGCCUUUUACUGACCUCCGUAACACCUUUUACAGGAGUAUUUUCAUCAGUGGCCCUACAUACAAGCAGCAAGCUAAGAGCAAAUGCCACAGCUCUUUCCAGAAACCACACAAGGUAGUUCCAGAGUAUACUGCACUUACUGUGAGGGAAGAAGCAUCGACGGAGCUUCUUGAGACAGCAAGAGAGGUUGGUCAAGGAUUCAAUAUUCAGGAUUCUCCAGAAGAUCACUGUUAGUGUGAAUACAAACUGUAAAGCAAGCAGACUUCAAAAUGUUUUGACAUCUACCUUGUGAAAACAGAUUAAUGAGAAGAAAUAUGAAGCAUGUCAGAACAUCAUAGAAAGCACAGAACUUUGGCCCCCAUGGGAAAGACAAGGAAAUUAAGACAGGAAAAGGGACUGGAGAAGAAGAUAAAGCAAGAAAUGGCAAAAUAGGAAUUGACUAGUGAAAAACAGAGUGCCAUUGAUCUUGCUUAGAGGAGACGAAAAGGUCACAGUGUGUUCACAGGACACACACCAUCCCAUGGCAAGACCCAUGCCAACUCCACCUUCUGGAAACCAGCACAUCCAUCCUUUCUAUACACUACUGCCUUGACCUACAUUGGCCACUAUCUGGUGCUUCCCAGCUGCAGUGAAGAACAGCAAAUCAACUAAAUCACGCUGCAGAAGUUAGAA